UAUUUAUUUUAGUCAAUAUUUUAAAAUAAAUGGUGAUUUAUAUUUUUAUAAAUAUUUAAGUUUUAUAUUGAUUUUGUAGUAACUAAAAAUUAAUAUAAAAUUUAAUCUUAUUUAAAAUGUAAAUAUUAAUGAUUUAUAAAAAUUAAUAUUUUUUAAAUAGUUAUAAAUAAGUAUUUAACAUACUUUUAUAAUACUAUUUAUAUUUAAGUUUAAGAUUUAAAUAAAUAUCAUUUUAAAAAAAAAAUUUAUAAUAAUAUAAUUUAUAUUAUAAUUUUUUAUAAUAUAAAUUAUCUUAUAAAAUAUAAAUUUUUAUAAAUUUAUCACUAUUGAUGACCAAAGCGGGAAUAAUUUUAAUAAUAUAUGCUCUCGCGCUGUUAGAUGAGCCUAGACGAGAUUAGCUUGUUGGUAAGGUAAAGGCUUACCAAGGCCACGAUCUCUAGUUGGUCUGAGAGGAUGACCAGCCACACUGGAACUGAGAUACGGUCCAGACUCUUACGGGAGGCAGCAGUGGGGAAUAUUGCACAAUGGGCGCAAGCCUGAUGCAGCUAUGUCGCGUGUAUGAAGAAGACCUUAGGGUUGUAAAGUACUUUCGAUAGCAUAAGAAGAUAAUAAAAUUAAUAAUUUUAUUGUCAGACGUUAGCUAUAGAAGAAGCACCGGCUAACUCCGUGCCAGCAGCCGCGGUAAUACGGGGGGUGCUAGCGUUAAUCGGAAUUACUGGGCGUAAAGAGCAUGUAGGUGGUUUAUUAAGUCAGAUGUGAAAUCCCUAGACUUAAUUUAGGAACUGCAUUUGAAACUAAUAGGCUAGAGUUUCGUAGAGGGAGGUAGAAUUCUAGGUGUAGCGGUGAAAUGCAUAGAUAUCUAGAGGAAUAUCAGUGGCGAAGGCGGCCUCCUGGACGAUAACUGACGCUCAAAUGCGAAAGCAUGGGUAGCAAACAGGAUUAGAUACCCUGGUAGUCCAUGCUGUAAACGAUGUCGACUAAGAGGUUGGAAGCAAGACUUUUAAUCUCUGUAGCUAACGCGUUAAGUCGACCGCCUGGGGAGUACGGUCGCAAGGCUAAAACUCAAAUGAAUUGACGGGGGCCUGCACAAGCGGUGGAGCAUGUGGUUUAAUUCGAUGCAACGCGUAAAACCUUACCUGGUCUUGACAUCCACAAAAUUUUACAGAAAUGUAGAAGUGCAAUUUGAAUUGUGAGACAGGUGCUGCAUGGCUGUCGUCAGCUCGUGUUGUGAAAUGUUGGGUUAAGUCCCGCAACGAGCGCAACCCUUGUUCUUUGUUGCCAUAGAAUUUUAUUUAUUCAGGAACUCAAAGGAGACUGCCAGUGAUAAACUGGAGGAAGGUGGGGACGACGUCAAGUCAUCAUGGCCCUUAUGACCAGGGCUACACACGUGCUACAAUGGCAUAUACAAAGAGAUGCAAUAUUGCAAAAUAAAGCCAAUCUUAUAAAAUAUGUCUUAGUUCGGACUGGAGUCUGCAACUCGACUCCACGAAGUCGGAAUCGCUAGUAAUCGUGGAUCAGCAUGCCACGGUGAAUAUGUUUCCAGGCCUUGUACACACCGCCCGUCACACCAUGGGAGUGGUUUGCAAAAGAAGUAAGAAAAUUAACCUUCUUAACAAGGAAAUAACUUACCACUUUGUGACUCAUAA
rnacentral:rRNA from 1 species